GGGUGGGUCUCCGCUCCCUCAGGCCGGGAUGGCGGGAGCUCAGGGCAGGCCUCGCCGUGCGCGUCAGAAGCACAGCCCUAGCCCCCAGUCCCCCAGAACAACUGCUCAGGGAAGUGCUCUGCGGACCCCAAGAACUCGACCGUGCUGAAGAGCCGGCAGAUGAAGCACAUCUCGGCCGAGCAGAAGCGGCGCUUCAACAUCAAGAUGGGCUUCAACACCCUCAAAUGGCCUCAUCUCCACCAACUCCAAGCUGACCAGCCACGCCAUCACGCUGCAGAAGACGGUGGAGUACAAUCACCAAGC